rnacentral:rRNA from 1 species
GCAGCANGCGCGCAAAUUACCCACUCCCGGCACGGGGAGGUAGUGACGAAAAAUAACGAUACGGGACUCAUCCGAGGCCCCGUAAUCGGAAUGAGUACACUUUAAACCCUUUAACGAGUAUCCAUUGGAGGGCAAGUCUGGUGCCAGCAGCCGCGGUAAUUCCAGCUCCAAUAGCGUAUAUUAAAGUUGUUGCGGUUAAAAAGCUCGUAGUUGGAUUUGUGUCCCACGCUGUCGGUUCACCGUUCGUCGGUGUUUAACUGGCAUGCCCGUGCGGACGUCCUGCCGGUGGAUGCGGUCGGCCGUGGGCCUCUGGUCUGCGCGUCGGCGGUCCGAUGCAAUCCUACCGCGGUGCUCUUCACCGAGUGUCGAGGUGGGCCGGCACGUUUACUUUGAACAAAUUAGAGUGCUCAAAGCAGGCAGUGGUUCGCCUGAAUAUUGUGUGCAUGGAAUAAUGGAAUAGGACCUCGGUUCUAUUUUGUUGGUUUUCGGAACUUGAGGUAAUGAUUAAUAGGGACAGACGGGGGCAUUCGUAUUGCGACGUUAGAGGUGAAAUUCUUGGAUCGUCGCAAGACGAACCUAAGCGAAAGCAUUUGCCAUGAGUGUUUUCACUAAUCAAGAACGAAAGUUAGAGGUUCGAAGGCGAUCAGAUACCGCCCUAGUUCUAACCAUAAACGAUGCCAGCUAGCGAUCCGCCGAAGUUCCUCCGAUGACUCGGCGGGCAGCUUCCGGGAAACCAAAGCUUUUGGGUUCCGGGGGAAGUAUGGUUGCAAAGCUGAAACUUAAAGGAAUUGACGGAAGGGCACCACCAGGAGUGGAGCCUGCGGCUUAAUUUGACUCAACACGGGAAACCUCACCAGGCCCGGACACCGGAAGGAUUGACAGAUUGAGAGCUCUUCUUGAUUCGGUGGGUGGUGGUGCAUGGCCGUUCUUA